GUUGCCCUGGCAACUGCGGGGGAGUCAAACAUCAGGGAGGUGAACUGAGAAGCAGGCAGGGAGCAGCCUCGCCUGGGCUUUAGGACCUAGGGCUUCCACUGCUCCAUGAAGGUGGCGGCUGCAGGGAGGGAGGAAAACCGGGAAGUUAGGGGCUCAGAAGCCCCACGACAUCAGAUGCCAUGAAAGCAUUCUCCUCUUCUGCACCAUUUGAUGAGAAAACUAAGGCUCGGCAGAAUUAAAUGGCUUAUCUGAUAAGUGGCAGUGUCAAGAUGGACAUUCAAUGAGGACUUUACUGCAAAUUCUCCAAUGUCAUCCUUCACCAGGAAAGAAUACAGGCAUUGGACCUGGCAAGAGAUGGGUCUGAAUCUGACUCACCUCCUGGUUCAGAGAACAUGCCCGCCUCCCCAUUAAGGCAAGACUGCAGCCCCCAUGACCGUCCCUGAGUUCCGAAGGGUGGAUUCAAACAGUUGCUAAUCAAGGGAGAAGCAGCCAAGCAACCACCCGGGGCAAGAUUAAAGGGACCAGAGAAACUCAUCAAGAUCAGGAGACAACCGCUGGGCUUCCCUGGUGGUCCAGUGGUUGAGAACCCGCCUGCCAAUGCGGGGGACGCGGGUUCGAGCCCUGGUCGGGGAACUAAGAUCCCACACGCAGUGAGGCAACUAAGCCCCCGCGCCGCAACUACUGAGCUCCGCGCCUCAACUAGAGAGAAGCCGGCGCACCACGAUGAGGAGCCCACGUGCCGCAGCGGAGGAUCCCGCAUGCCGCAACUAAGGCCCGACGCAGCCAAAAAUAAAAUAAAUUAAAAAAUUGGGAGACGACCACCUGAGAUGAGAUUAAGGGAGUGCAGGCCCUGCUCACCACACCCUAAUCUUGUCAGAGAACCACCCCCCCCGCCCUUUGAACCACUGCCAUAAAGCCCUUCAUCAAAUCCUCUGGCGGGGGACACACACAGUUUUUCGAGGCAGAAACCGGCAUGUCCCCCUUUGCCUGGCAAAGCAAUAAAGCUCUCCUUUUCUA